rnacentral:rRNA from 1 species
GAUGAACGCUGGCGGCGUGCCUAAUACAUGCAAGUCGAGCGAACAGACGAGGAGCUUGCUCCUCUGACGUUAGCGGCGGACGGGUGAGUAACACGUGGAUAACCUACCUAUAAGACUGGGAUAACUUCGGGAAACCGGAGCUAAUACCGGAUAAUAUAUUGAACCGCAUGGUUCAAUAGUGAAAGACGGUUUUGCUGUCACUUAUAGAUGGAUCCGCGCCGCAUUAGCUAGUUGGUAAGGUAACGGCUUACCAAGGCAACGAUGCGUAGCCGACCUGAGAGGGUGAUCGGCCACACUGGAACUGAGACACGGUCCAGACUCCUACGGGAGGCAGCAGUAGGGAAUCUUCCGCAAUGGGCGAAAGCCUGACGGAGCAACGCCGCGUGGGUGAUGAAGGUCUUCGGAGCGUAAAACUCUGUUAUUAGGGAAGAACAAAUGUGUAAGUAACUAUGCACGUCUUGACGGUACCUAAACAGAAAGCCACGGCUAACUACGUG